UACAGAGGUCCCAAGCGUUGUUCGGAUUCAUUGGGCGUAAAGGGUGCGUAGGCGGCGCGGCAAGUCGGGUGUGAAAUCUCAGAGCUCAACUCUGAAACUGCACUCGAUACUGCUUUGCUUGAGGACUGGAGAGGAGAUUGGAAUUCACGGUGUAGCAGUGAAAUGCGUAGAUAUCGUGAGGAAGACCAGUGGCGAAGGCGGAUCUCUGGACAGUUCCUGACGCUGAGGCGCGAAGGCCAGGGGAGCAAACGGGG
rnacentral:rRNA from 1 species